GUCAAACAACAUGCAUUUGUUGACAAGCAGAGCGUGAGGAAGCCGGCACAGACGCCGUGAGACGAUAAAGAACCAUGUCGACUCAAAAGGAUUCAACUUCAACUCGCCAUCAGUGAUGAGCAGGAGCCCGGAGUGGAGCAGCAUCACAGGCCUGCAGCAUAUAGACAGUGUGUGUUAUGAUAGCAUGGCUGCUUGGGAGAAGAGAACAGAGUAAUGAAUCAAAGCUGCUACGUCUGGAAAAUCAGAGAUGCUUACACAAGUACAGUAUCCUGGCUACAGGGUGUGUUGCCUUGUGUAAAAAAGUGUCUUACAGACUUGUACAUACAUACUUGUUGUGGUUUUGUUCGGUAUUUUUGUGCCAUUUCAAGUUGACUUUGUAUGUUGAGUUCCUUGAAGUCUUUUGUUUUGACCAGUUUACAUAAUAAAACAGAUAUCCUUUUCUUCUA